rnacentral:rRNA from 1 species
GAUGAACGCUGGCGGCGUGCCUAAUACAUGCAAGUCGAGCGAACGGACGAGAAGCUUGCUUCUCUGAUGUUAGCGGCGGACGGGUGAGUAACACGUGGAUAACCUACCUAUAAGACUGGGAUAACUUCGGGAAACCGGAGCUAAUACCGGAUAAUAUUUUGAACCGCAUGGUUCAAAAGUGAAAGACGGUCUUGCUGUCACUUAUAGAUGGAUCCGCGCUGCAUUAGCUAGUUGGUAAGGUAACGGCUUACCAAGGCAACGAUGCAUAGCCGACCUGAGAGGGUGAUCGGCCACACUGGAACUGAGACACGGUCCAGACUCCUACGGGAGGCAGCAGUAGGGAAUCUUCCGCAAUGGGCGAGAGCCUGACGGAGCAACGCCGCGUGAGUGAUGAAGGUCUUCGGAUCGUAAAACUCUGUUAUUAGGGAAGAACAUAUGUGUAAGUAACUGUGCACAUCUUGACGGUACCUAAUCAGAAAGCCACAGCUAACUACGUGCCAGCAGCCGCGGUAAUACGUAGGUGGCAAGCGUUAUCCGGAAUUAUUGGGCGUAAAGCGCGCGUAGGCGGUUUUUUAAGUCUGAUGUGAAAGCCCACGGCUCAACCGUGGAGGGUCAUUGGAAACUGGAAAACUUGAGUGCAGAAGAGGAAAGUGGAAUUCCAUGUGUAGCGGUGAAAUGCGCAGAGAUAUGGAGGAACACCAGUGGCGAAGGCGACUUUCUGGUCUGUAACUGACGCUGAUGUGCGAAAGCGUGGGGAUCAAACAGGAUUAGAUACCCUGGUAGUCCACGCCGUAAACGAUGAGUGCUAAGUGUUAGGGGGUUUCCGCCCCUUAGUGCUGCAGCUAACGCAUUAAGCACUCCGCCUGGGGAGUACGACCGCAAGGUUGAAACUCAAAGGAAUUGACGGGGACCCGCACAAGCGGUGGAGCAUGUGGUUUAAUUCGAAGCAACGCGAAGAACCUUACCAAAUCUUGACAUCCUUUGACAACUCUAGAGAUAGAGCUUUCCCCUUCGGGGGACAAAGUGACAGGUGGUGCAUGGUUGUCGUCAGCCCGUGUCGUGAGAUGUUGGGUUAAGUCCCGCAACGAGCGCAACCCUUAAGCUUAGUUGCCAUCAUUAAGUUGGGCACUCUAAGUUGACUGCCGGUGACAAACCGGAGGAAGGUGGGGAUGACGUCAAAUCAUCAUGCCCCUUAUGAUUUGGGCUACACACGUGCUACAAUGGACAAUACAAAGGGCAGCGAGACCGUGAGGUCAAGCAAAUCCCAUAAAGUUGUUCUCAGUUCGGAUUGUAGUCUGCAACUCGACUACAUGAAGCUGGAAUCGCUAGUAAUCGUAGAUCAGCAUGCUACGGUGAAUACGUUCCCGGGUCU